AUUAUCUUUUUGAUUUGAAUCAUUUAAGUAAAAUUAGCAAAUUAGAAGGAUAGAUAAUUUAAUAUUUUAUAUAUUAUGAUAGUAUUACUUUAUAGGUGUCUUAUGUCUUUUAGUUCUCUAAUAAUACUAUAAAUUUAAAAAAUAUAAGAUGACACAACUUAAUUUUUUGAUAAUGCUCUAAAUUGACAAAAUAAAUGGCUUCUUAUUUGUUUAGCACAACCAUUGAAUUUGUAAUAGUUUCUAAGGAAAAUACCCCUUAUAGAUGUGUCUAUUUAAUUUUGAAAUCUUCUAUAUCUUUAAUAUAUGGUAGUAUCUUAUAAGUGGUAGAUAAACAAAGAUAGGCCAUUGCCUUGGUAAUUUUUUUGCAUUGUAUCUCAAAUUUAGUUGUUGUAAGGAUCAAGUCAUAUAAAUCAAUUGUUUUUUUGCUAUAAAUCAAGUGAUGCAAUUCCUUUAUAUGUCAAUAAUAAGUAUAUCACAUCUCAUAGGUCAUCUCCUAAAAUAUGUUGUGUAUGAGGGAUUACCAUUCCUUGUAAUUAUGACCAUUUAGGUAGUUUCUCUCUCCUACUAUGUUAUGAAGUGUGCUUUUUAUUUUGAACUAGUGCUUGUGAAUAA
rnacentral:lncRNA from 1 species